rnacentral:rRNA from 1 species
GACGAACGCUGGCGGCGUGCCUAAUACAUGCAAGUCGAACGCUGAAGAGAGGAGCUUGCUCUUCUUGGAUGAGUUGCGAACGGGUGAGUAACGCGUAGGUAACCUGCCUUGUAGCGGGGGAUAACUAUUGGAAACGAUAGCUAAUACCGCAUAACAAUGGAUGACACAUGUCCUUUAUUUGAAAGGGGCAAUUGCUCCACUACAAGAUGGACCUGCGUUGUAUUAGCUAGUAGGUGAGGUAAUGGCUCACCUAGGCGACGAUACAUAGCCGACCUGAGAGGGUGAUCGGCCACACUGGGACUGAGACACGGCCCAGACUCCUACGGGAGGCAGCAGUAGGGAAUCUUCGGCAAUGGGGGCAACCCUGACCGAGCAACGCCGCGUGAGUGAAGAAGGUUUUCGGAUCGUAAAGCUCUGUUGUAAGUCAAGAACGGGUGUGAGAGUGGAAAGUUCACACUGUGACGGUAGCUGACCAGAAAGGGACGGCUAACUACGUG